UGAACUUGGAACUAUGAUUGCUAAUAACGAAAUUAGUUUUUUUGACCAAAGUAAUAAAGAAAACAUCAAUCCAAAUUACACUGUCUUGGAAAAAAACUCACAAUCAGUAACAGGACAAGAUUACAAUAACAAUUCAGUUCCCGAGUCUAUUGAGUGCCCUUUGUGCUUUACAACAAAUUCAGUAGACAUUCGUUGGAGAAUGACAGCUUGUUGUAGCUGUAAACAUAGAUUUUGUCGACACUGUUUUUGUGCUAAUCAUAAAUUUUCCGGAAGAAA